rnacentral:rRNA from 1 species
UACGGAGGGUGCAAGCAUUGAUCGGAAUUACUGGGCGUAAAGGGCGCGUAGGCGGCUGUAAAAGUCAGGUGUGAAAUUCCGGGGCUCAACCCCGGAGCUGCACUUGAAACUCUACAGCUAGAGUACAGUUAGGGAAAACGGAAUUCCACGUGUAGCGGUGAAAUGCGUAGAUAUGUGGAAGAACACCGGUGGUGAAGACGGUUUUCUGGGCUGUAACUGACGCUGAGGCGCGAAAGCUAGGGGAGCAAACAGG